AGUGGCGGACGGGUGAGUAACGCGUGAGAAUCUGCCUUGGGGUCGGGGACAACCACUGGAAACGGUGGCUAAUACCGGAUAAGCCGAUUGGUGAAAGAUUUAUUGCCCGAAGAGGAGCUCGCGUCUGAUUAGCUAGUUGGUGAGGUAAGAGCUCACCAAGGCAGCGAUCAGUAGCUGGUCUGAGAGGACGAUCAGCCACACUGGGACUGAGACACGGCCCAGACUCCUACGGGAGGCAGCAGUGGGGAAUUUUCCGCAAUGGGCGAAAGCCUGACGGAGCAAGACCGCGUGAGGGAGGAAGGCUCUUGGGUUGUAAACCUCUUUUCUCAGGGAAGAAGCUCUGACGGUACCUGAGGAAUCAGCCUCGGCUAACUCCGUGCCAGCAGCCGCGGUAAUACGGAGGAGGCAAGCGUUAUCCGGAAUUAUUGGGCGUAAAGCGUCCGCAGGUGGCGAUUCAAGUCUGCUGUCAAAGCACGGGGCUUAACUCCGUAAAGGCAGUGGAAACUGAAUAGCUAGAGUGCCGUAGGGGUAGAGGGAAUUCCCGGUGUAGCGGUGAAAUGCGUAGAGAUCGGGAAGAACAUCGGUGGCGAAAGCGCUCUACUGACGGCAACUGACACUCAGGGACGAAAGCUAGGGGAGCGAAUGGGAUUAGAUACCCC
rnacentral:rRNA from 1 species